rnacentral:rRNA from 1 species
UACGUAGGGGGCAAGCGUUGUUCGGAAUUACUGGGCGUAAAGGGCGCGUAGGCGGCACGGCAAGUCAGGAGUGAAAGCCCGGGGCUCAACCCCGGAAUGUCUUUUGAAACUGCCGAGCUAGAGUGCGGAAGAGGCAACUGGAAUUCCCAGUGUAGCGGUGAAAUGCGUAGAUAUUGGGAAGAACACCUGAGGCGAAGGCGGGUUGCUGGGCCGACACUGACGCUGAUGAACGAAAGCCAGGGGAGCAAACGGG